UAGGGAAUCUUCGGCAAUGGGGGGAACCCUGACCGAGCAACGCCGCGUGAGUGAAGAAGGUUUUCGGAUCGUAAAGCUCUGUUGUUAAGGAAGAACGAGUGUGAGAAUGGAAAGUUCAUGCUGUGACGGUACUUAACCAGAAAGGGACGGCUAACUACGUGCCAGCAGCCGCGGUAAUACGUAGGUCCCGAGCGUUGUCCGGAUUUAUUGGGCGUAAAGCGAGCGCAGGCGGUUAGAAAAGUCUGAAGUGAAAGGCAGUGGCUCAACCAUUGUAGGCUUUGGAAACUGUUUAACUUGAGUGCAGAAGGGGAGAGUGGAAUUCCAUGUGUAGCGGUGAAAUGCGUGGAUAUAUGGAGGAACACCGGUGGCGAAGGCGGCUCUCUGGUCUGUAACUGACGCUGAGGCUCGAAAGCGUGGGGAGCGAACAGG
rnacentral:rRNA from 1 species